rnacentral:rRNA from 1 species
UACCUAUGGGGGGCAGCAGUGGGGAAUAUUGCGCGAUGGGCGAAAGCCUGACGCAGCGACGCCGCGUGAGGGAUGAAGGUCUUCGGAUCGUAAACCUCUGUCAGCAGGGAAGAACGGUCACUGUGCUAAUCAGCAGUGAACUGACGGUACCUGCAAAGGAAGCACCGGCUAACUCCGUGCCAGCAGCCGCGGUAAUACGGAGGGUGCGAGCGUUAAUCGGAAUUACUGGGCGUAAAGCGCUCGUAGGCGGAAUGUCAAGUCAAGGGUGAGAUCCCCGCGCUAACCGUGGGAA